GAAGCACUGCGUCAUCGUCACAGAGUGUCAUCGUCCACCGUACCGAGCGCGCACUUACUUCAUUUCUUAUAAUUGUUAAUUCCGUCAUUCCUAAGUGUUGUAAUUUAUACAGUCCACUAUUAUACUUAUUAGCUACGAAGUUACUGGAGUUUUGUUCUACCAACACCCGUAGGAUAUUCCACAAUUUUCGUUUAUGGUCCUUCGCAAUAACGACAGAAGAAGUAACGGCCAGUUCCAGCCACGUAGGAGUGACAAGCGGAUUUUCAAAUUCAAGAAAAAUAACGGCCGUUGGAAAAAUACUGGUGAUCAAGAGGUCUUCUCGCCCUUCGUGCGUGCCUGGUUCCAGUUUACGGUCAUCAUAAGCGCCGCCUUUCGGGAAGAAAAAACUUGUCGGAGCGAAUACAGUUCGUCAGUGGUCAUCAUAGUUGGGUCAUCGCAACAUAGCAGCCGAGCAGAGCCCAAGAACAUCGCGAGCAAGAAGACGUUCGGUUUGGAAUCGCAGUCAAAGGAUUUCGUGAGAUCUUACCAUAUUCUUAUUAACAUUAUUUUUCAUGCUAACAUCAUCUAAAUUUCCAGUAGUGUUCAGAUAGUGCAUUAGAUCAUAGAAUCAUACAUAAUUGUCUAGUGAAUAUUAGUAAAAUAGCAGAUGCAUGACUAGUUACAUAGUUGUGUUUUGGUUUUUCUCGUUUACCCACUUAAAAUAAAAAUAAAAUCAUUGUCAUUAUUGCGUAGUUUUCCAUAAUCAGAAUAUUGUGAUUCAUGUUUAUUUCUUGUUUACAGUAGUUAACGCACUACGCAUGGGUAGGCAUUAAUGUGAUCUUUAUUAUAUUUUCAACUUUCAAACGCCUAAUGGUUGGUAAUUAGCAACGCUCAUUCGAACAGCUGUGCUUUGCGAUUGAUUACAUGCGCAUUUACACUAAAAUAGUUAACAGCUUUGUCCCAUUUUUCAGCACUUAUUUGCUAUUCUAUUUUAGAUAUCUUCAUUCUUCUUCUGUACCUUCUUUAGUGCAUAAGGCUUGCCUCCGAUUUAGCCAUGACUGAAGAAAUUAAAAUUAAAGAGCUUACGAAAAAACGCGCCUCAAUAAAAUCACAGCUUACUCAGUUUACAUCCUUCUUAAAUGUCUCUAAGUCUUGCGACCAACUUAGUGAGGAACAGCUUGUUGAGUUGGAGCUUAGAGUUGACAAAAUGGUUACGGUAUAUGCUACCUAUGAUCAAUUACAGGGUCAAUUGGAGUGCCUGUCGGCAAAGCCAGACGAGCAAUUCACCGAAAGGGAGCAAUUUGAGGCGAUCUACUACAAGCAACUAGCAUCUGCUCGUGCCCUUCUGACACAGCACCGCACACAACUCGCGAAUAAGCGUUGGUAAGAGUCACGGACCAUUUCGGGACGCCGCACAGCGCCAGAGUCUUACUCGACAAUGGAAGCACGGCAAACUUCAUUACCAAGGAUCUUUGUGAGAACGAAGUGGACUGACUCCGACGGGGUUCUUGAGGAAGGAGCCAUGGUGGUACUCAAGGAGCAACAGACUCCACCAUUGAUGUGGCCACUCGGUCGUAUCGUACGGCUGAUAGCUGGGAGAGACGGCAUAAGCCGAGUAGCGGACGUGAAGACGAAGAGAGGCAUAGUGCGACGCGCUUAUAACACCAUAUGUCCUCUUCCAGUUUAAUCCUUGAAGAUCGUCUAUCUUCAACGCCGGGAGCAUGUUGAGAACAUCACUACGCCCGGGCGACCGCGGGCGGAGCCGCGGGCGCAGGGGGGCGCUCGAUCAGCUGGCGCGCGCGCCGGCCGUCACAAGAAGCACUGCGUCAUCGUCACAGAGUGUCAUCGUCCACCGUACCGAGCGCGCACUUACUUCAUUUCUUAUAAUUGUUAAUUCCGUCAUUCCUAAGUGUUGUAAUUUAUACAGUCCACUAUUAUACUUAUUAGCUACGAA
rnacentral:misc_RNA from 1 species